ACAAGAGAGAUAAUAUUUUGAAAUGAUAUGCUUUGUAAAGGGUGGACAUUCAGAAUAUACAAGGAGUUCCAAAACAUAGCUUAUAAAAGAAUAAUCAAAGAUAUCUCUAAGAGAAGACACAGAAAGGCAACACACAGGGACAGGAAAUAAACAAUCAAUACUACUGAUCAUCAAGGAAAUGCAAGUGAAUCGCAGUGAGGUUUCACCUCUCCCCAGGAAAAAUACACAGUACUAACAAGACAAAACAUAACAAGUAUUAAUGGGGUUAUAGAGAAAAGGUAAUUUUUAUAUAUUGUACAUAGCUAUGAAAUUUUGCUGUUGUGUUUUUUGAAAUGAUACCAGUUUUUGUUUGUUUGUUUGCUUUUGUUUUUUAUGAAAGAAUGAUAAGACUACUGUACCAUCACACAAGUCACUCCUGGAUUUUUUCCAAAGGAAAUGAAUUCAAAAUAUCAAAAGACAUCUAAACUCUCAUGUUUAUUGCAGAAAUAUUCAAAAUGGCCAAAACAAUUAACAAUUUAAAUGCUGAUCAACUGACUAAUGAAUAAGGAAAAUGUGCACAUACAGAGUUAAAUGCUAGUCAGCAAUAAAUAGGAGUGAAAUUCUAUCAUUUGCAAUAACUUGGAUGGAACUGAAGAAGAUUGCUUAAAUAAGUCAAGCACAGAAAUGUAACAUAAUAAUACUUCUACUAGAUAGGGGUGAGAUUGUUGUUUUUCCAUUUAUUCAAGAGUUAAAAGACAAGAAGAAAGUCUAGAGAGAAGUUCAUCAAGGUGUGUUGUCGUCGUCAUGUUUUGUUGUUGUUGUUGGUUUUUUUUUUGUUUUUUGUUUUUUGUUUUUUCUGAGACAGGGUUUCUCUCUGUAACCCUGGCUGUCCUGGAACUCACUCUGUAGACCAGGCUGGCCUCAAACUCACAAAUCUGCCUGUCUCUGCCUCCCAAAAGGUGUUUGCCACCACACUGCUCAGCAAACAUAUUUUGCUUUUUGUUUGUCUUUUCAUAUGGUACAGACUCCUUAGACAGAAGUAUCCCAGGUUUUCAAUACUGAAUCUAAGGGCACUCAGGUAGAUUUUUUUUAAAGAUUUAAUUCUUUCAUUCUGGUGACUUUGUUUCAUCUAUGGACUCUAAGGUGUUCACACUUCGGGCAUGGAGAUUGGGUCUCUUUAUGCUUUCACCUGCUGAUAGGCUUCCCAUCUUGGUGCAUAAACGUGAAAAUAGCUAUCAUAGGGUCCCUGUCUGGGUCACGGGUUUAUAGACCAGUUUUGGUUGGGUGAGUUUAGGAGUUUUCUGAAGUCCUCUUCUUUUGGGUAUACUAAGGAAAGAGAAGCUUACUGUGUGAGGAAAUUGACCAGCUUUCCUUUCUCCCUUCUGCCUCUCACAGUGUCCAUGGCUUCAUUAGUCACAUGCAGCAUCUAAAAAUGUUUUCUCUCAGAAAUUUGAAGUAAUUAGUUACCAGAGGCUAGGGGAAGUGACAGGACACAGAGAAAGAAAAAAGUUGGUAAGUGAUUUCAAUUAUGUGAGAUCUGGAGCACAUUUGUGUACAGUUAUGAAUAUAUGUCAGAUAUAUACCUCAGAAAGCUUGAAGAAAGGAUUUUGAUAGAUUUUACCAAAAAUCAACAAAGAUUUCAGGAGGUUGUACCAUUGAAAUUGAUUUAGACAUCACAUAUUCACAUGUAUUAAGAUAACUUAUAAUGUCCCAACUAGUAUGUAGAAUUAAAAAAAAAUUGUCAUUUAAGAAAUAAAUUCAAGAAGAAGAAAGUCAUAAAGAGACAAUUAUGUCUCAGUAAUUAGAAUACAUGAAUCUAAAAAUAUGACUACUAUCAACUGUUGGCAGAACUCAUAUACUGUUGGGAGGAAUGCAACUGCUAUAAUAACCACUUUAUAGACCACUAUAAAUUUUAUUAUAAAAUUAAAGAUAUAUGUAUCCCAUGAGCAGCUUAUUUCUGGGUAUUUACUAGAAAUCAAUCAAAGCACAUUAAACAGUAAGACUUAUAAGUGAUUGAUAAUAAACUGGGAAAGCCUUCAAACUGAUCAUCUGUCAAGUGCUGAAUGGAUAAAUAAGUUGUAGACCAUUUCACAGUGUAUUAGGUAAGCAUCGGUGUUGAUGUUGUACAGCUACAGUCUAUGAAUUGAGACAUUCCCUCCUGAGGUCAGGCUCCUUAUAACUCUGGAAGCAAAUGAAAUCUUAAAGUCUCAGGAAACAAGCAAAGGUUAGAACUGAAAGAACAUUUCUAGUUAGUCAAGCAAUUCAAGCUGCUGGGUAAAGGAGACUCUCCUACUAGCUUAGCUACUGAGCUCCAGAGAUACAGCCUUGGUUAGCCAUCAUUCAUGCUGGGGAUGCUUGGAUGAUGAAGCUGUUGUCGAGUCAUCCAUGUUUUUAUUGAGAACCCUUCACCCGACCUCUUAUAAAUAACCACAUUAAACCUACUAGUUCACUAAACUAGGUUUGGAUAUAACUGUUUCUUUCUCAUCACUGCCUUAUCUACAGUGUCUAGGUGCUUAUUUAUAUCUCCCCAAGAAAGCUUAUACAGCACAGUGUGUGUGACUGAAAUAGAGGUGGACAGAACCAAAGAUGAGCUGGUGCUAUGGUAUGCAACAGAGGCUGUUUUGGGUGAGAGAAGAGCAGUUGAAGACUAUCUCAGUGUGGCUACCUAUCCUCAUUUGGUAUGGGAGUGAGUGCUAUAAUGGUAGUCAGAUGCUUCUUAAGAUGAGUAAUGGGACACCAAAGUCCAGGUAUCUGAGAAUGGAACAUUCUUGGGAGCAAUCACAGAAUGUCUGUAUUCUUCUAUGUAGUACAGGUUACAGUGCCUCUUGGAUAAAUGGGAUUAACCACUAGAGUAUAGGGAUGUCCUCCAAACCACAGAUGGGUUAUAAAACAUAUUAAAUUCAUAUAGUUAGCAUGUGUGUGAAGGGAUCAUAAGCAAAUUGUAGUAUCAGGUUCAUGGACAUUUUUGUAAGUGUCCAUUAAUGAGACUAAGGUUCAGCUUGAUUCCUAGGAGUAAGGAAUUUAUAUAAGUUUGGACUAUAAUAAAAAACAAAG
rnacentral:lncRNA from 1 species